GAUGACCCCAACUCACUGAAUCCAAAGCAAGGGUCGAUCUGGCAUGAUGAAGAUCUCCACUUACAUUUGCCCUGCUCUGUGGCUCUUCUUGGCUGCUAACAGCAGCAAAGUCUUUGGUUCUUCUGAAUCUAUCACUUUGACUCAGCCCAGGACAGUGAAGGCAUCCCCAGGGGGCUCUAUUACUCUGGACUGUGUAGUAUCUGGAUAUAAUAUCAAUGAUCACCACAUGCAAUGGAUCCGUCAAGCCCCUGAAAAAGGCCUUAUCAACAUAGCAAGCUUCAGAACUGGAUAUCCCGCAUAUGUUGCCAAUCAAUUGAAAGGACGCGCAACCCCCUUCACCAGUGGCUCGACGGCAAAACUAACGAUAAACGCUCUGACAGAUGAAGACACGAGUGUCUACUAUUGUGCAAGACAGUACACGCUGGCAUAGAUCAUGGUUGCCAUUGUACAAUAUCCUCUAGAAAACCCAAAUAUCUUGCUAAUUACAUCUUGUUGAUGGGUUUUCUGUUUUAAGAAGUUUCAUUUCCUGUUUUGAAGAGAGCUUGAAUGAGCAAAUGUUUAAGAGCAAGUGUUGUUACUAAUUUUGGGAGUCAGAAAGAGGAAGUUGGUUCUCUUGUGGCUAGUUUAGUUAAAACGCUUAUAUCUUGCCCUGCUAAUGUAAAAAUACACUCAGGGUGUCUUAAUAUA